CCGGCGACCGGCGCACGGGUGAGUAACACGUAUGCAACCUGGCCGUGACAGAUGGAUAACCGGGAGAAAUCCCGCCUAAUACAACAUAAUGCCGGGAGGGGACAUCCCCUGCCGGCCAAAGGGGGCGACCCCGGUCACGGAUGGGCAUGCGGCGCAUUAGGUAGUUGGUGGGGCAACGGCUCACCAAGCCGACGAUGCGUAGGGGUUCUGAGAGGAAGGUCCCCCACAUUGGAACUGAGACACGGUCCAAACUCCUACGGAAGGCAGCAG
rnacentral:rRNA from 1 species